rnacentral:miRNA from 1 species
GUGGAGCCCACUAACUAUUCAUUACUGUUCAUUCACUAUUCAUUACUGUUCAUUUGGCGGCUUUGAUAGAGUUUGUCUGUCACGGGUGAAUAGUGAUGAAUAGUGAUGAAUAGUGAUGAAUAGUGAUUUUCUCAG